CCUACGGGCGGCAGCAGUCGAGAAUCAUUCACAAUGGGGGAAACCCUGCUGGUGCGACGCCGCGUGGGGGAAUGAAGGUCUUCGGAUUGUCAGCCCCUGUCAUAUGGAAGCAAAUUAAAAAGAUAGUACCACAAGCGGAAGAGACGUCUAAGUCUGUUCCAGCAGCCGCAGUAAUACAGAGGGCUCCAGCGUUUUUCGGAAUCACUGGGCGUAAAGCCGGCGGAGGCUGUUGCGCAAGUCGUGUGUGAAAGGCGGGGGCUCAACCCGCGGCCGGCACAUGAGACUGCGAGACUAGGGUAAAGGAGGGGGAACCGGAAUUCUUGGUGUAGCAGUGAAAUGCGUAGAUAUCGAGAGGAACACUCGUGGCGAAGGCGGCUUCCUGGACUUUAACUGACGCUGAGGCACGAAGGCCAGGGGAGCGAAAGGGAUUAGAUACCCGUGUAGUC
rnacentral:rRNA from 1 species